UACAGAGGUCUCAAGCGUUGUUCGGAUUCAUUGGGCGUAAAGGGUGCGUAGGCGGCGCGGUAAGUCGGGUGUGAAAUCUCGGAGCUUAACUCCGAAACUGCAUUCGAUACUGCCGUGCUUGAGGACUGGAGAGGAGACUGGAAUUUACGGUGUAGCGGUGAAAUGCGUAGAUAUCGUAAGGAAGACCAGUGGCGAAGGCGGGUCUCUGGACAGUUCCUGACGCUGAGGCACGAAGGCCAGGGUAGCAAACGGG
rnacentral:rRNA from 1 species